rnacentral:rRNA from 1 species
AUUGAACGCUGGCGGCAGGCCUAACACAUGCAAGUCGAGCGGAUGAAGGGAGCUUGCUCCUGGAUUCAGCGGCGGACGGGUGAGUAUUGCCUAGGAAUCUGCCUGGUAGUGGGGGAUAACGUCCGGAAACGGGCGCUAAUACCGCAUACGUCCUGAGGGAGAAAGUGGGGGAUCUUCGGACCUCACGCUAUCAGAUGAGCCUAGGUCGGAUUAGCUAGUUGGUGGGGUAAAGGCCUACCAAGGCGACGAUCCGUAACUGGUCUGAGAGGAUGAUCAGUCACACUGGAACUGAGACACGGUCCAGACUCCUACGGGAGGCAGCAGUGGGGAAUAUUGGACAAUGGGCGAAAGCCUGAUCCAGCCAUGCCGCGUGUGUGAAGAAGGUCUUCGGAUUGUAAAGCACUUUAAGUUGGGAGGAAGGGCAGUAAGUUAAUACCUUGCUGUUUUGACGUUACCAACAGAAUAAGCACCGGCUAACUUCGUG